rnacentral:rRNA from 1 species
UACGUAGGGCGCAAGCGUUGUCCGGAUUUAUUGGGCGUAAAGAGCUCGUAGGCGGUCUGUCGCGUCGGCUGUGAAAACCCGGGGCUCAACUCCGGGCUUGCAUUCGAUACGGGCAGGCUAGAGUUCGGUAGGGGAGUCUGGAAUUCCUGGUGUAGCGGUGAAAUGCGCAGAUAUCAGGAGGAACACCGGUGGCGAAGGCGGGACUCUGGGCCGAAACUGACGCUGAGGAGCGAAAGCGUGGGGAGCGAACAGG